GCCCUAAUUAUUUAGCACAAAACUAAUAGGAAAUAGGAAUAAAAUGGAUAGUGUAAAUUUAAAAUUUGUAAAACAUGGAUUAUAUUUAAAAUCUCUAAAUGGAUAAUUUUUUGGAUAAUUAUUGUUUUAGGAAAAAGGAUAAUUACUUGCAAGAGAGAGAGAGAGAGAGUUUCUCUCUCAAUGACAACUUGCAUUUGCAUGGCAAUGCUGUGUUCCAACCCAACUCUCUCUCUAAUACCUCUCUUUUAUUUGUGUGUAUCCAUGUAUAUGUCUAUAUCCACUCACAGUAUUAAUUUUAAUAUUAUUAGUAUUAUUUUUUUCUUUCUAUGUGUUAUUGUAUGUAUAUAAUAUAAGUAAUUUCAAAGAAGGAUAGAAAGAAGUUUUCAGGGAAGGACUCGGAAGCUCUGAAUUCUCAGGGAAGGACUGUCCGGUCAUUAUAAAUACCAAAAAUCCUCCACAACAAUGUCACCACCCCAUAGAAGAAGACUUGUUGAUUUUCUCUCUUUUUUAGUUGAGUUUGUGAGAUUUUUGAAUUUGGGUUUUGAUUCAGGAUGACUAUCCUCAUUGAUCAACUUGAUUUUGGAGUUGAGGCUCAUGAGGAACAUGAGGAACAGAAGAUCCCAAACAAUGAAAAUGAAUUGGUGUUGGAUGGUGGAUUUGUGGUGCCAGAGAUCAAUUCAUUUGGCCAAAACUUUAGGUUUUUCUCUCUCCAUAAAAUCAUUAUAUAUAUUUCACUGUGAGGUCUGUGAUUGUUUCCCGAGAACCAAACAGUGUGAAUCAGUCCUAGAACAGGGAUUCCAUGCUUAACCUAGAUUGAUUUUGGCAACACAUACUGAAUAAAAUAAUAUAGUUUUAAUA